rnacentral:rRNA from 1 species
AGUGAACGCUGGCGGCAGGCCUAACACAUGCAAGUCGAACGGACCCUUCGGAGUUAGUGGCGCACGGGUGCGUAACGCGUGGGAAUCUGCCCUUGGGUACGGAAUAACUCAGAGAAAUUUGUGCUAAUACCGUAUAAUGUCUUCGGACCAAAGAUUUAUCGCCCAAGGAUGAGCCCGCGUAAGAUUAGCUAGUUGGUGAG